CCUACGGGAGGCAGCAGUGAGGAAUAUUGGUCAAUGGGCGCAAGCCUGAACCAGCCAAGUCGCGUGAAGGAAGACGGUCCUAUGGAUUGUAAACUUCUUUUGUCGGGGGGCAAAAGACGCCACGCGUGGCGGUCCGAGGGUACCCGAAGAAAAAGCAUCGGCUAACUCCGUGCCAGCAGCCGCGGUAAUACGGAGGAUGCGAGCGUUAUCCGGAUUUAUUGGGUUUAAAGGGUGCGCAGGCGGAAGGUUAAGUCAGCGGUAAAAUCGAGAGGCUCAACCUCUGCGAGCCGUUGAAACUGGUUUUCUUGAGUGAGUGAGAGGUAUGCGGAAUGCGUGGUGUAGCGGUGAAAUGCAUAGAGAUCACGCAGAACUCCGAUUGCGAAGGCAGCAUACCGGCGGUCAACUGACGCUGAUGCACGAAAGUGUGGGUAUCGAACAGGAUUAGAUACCCGAGUAGUC
rnacentral:rRNA from 1 species